CCAAUAGCGUAUAUUAAAGUUGUUGCAGUUAAAAAGCUCGUAGUUGAAUUUCGGGAUUCUACCGUUGGUCGGGCUAUCCAGUCUGUACUAGCGUGUAGAAUUUCUACCUUCUGGGGAACCGUCAUGUUAUUAAUUUAGUGUAAUGGGAAACCAGGACCUUUACCUUGAAAAAAUUAGAGUGUUCAAAGCAGGCUUACGACUGAAUACAUUAGCAUGGAAUAAUAAAAUAGGACGGUGGUCCUGUUUUGUUGGUUUCUGAAUCACCGUAAUGAUUAAUAGGGAUAGUUGGGGGCAUUAGUAUUCAAUUGUCAGAGGUGAAAUUCUUGGAUUUAUUGAAGACUAACUUCUGCGAAAGCAUUUGCCAAGGAUGUUUUCAUUAAUCAAGAACGAAAGUUAGGGGAUCGAAGACGAUCAGAUACCGUCGUAGUCUUAACCAUAAACUAUGCCGACUAGGGAUCGGACGAUGUUAAAUAUUAUUGACUCGUUCGGCGCCUUACG
rnacentral:rRNA from 1 species